GAUUUAUACAGAAGCGGCGAGAGAACAGGCUCCCUGACCCGCUGGCAACCUUCGACCGCGCGAAAGGUGCCAAUUCCUGCCCGACCGGCUUUUGCCGACGGGGCAUAUAACCC
rnacentral:ncRNA from 2 species